rnacentral:rRNA from 1 species
UACGUAGGGGGCAAGCGUUGUCCGGAUUUAUUGGGCGUAAAGAGCGUGUAGGCGGCUUGGUAGGUCCGCUGUGAAAACUCGAGGCUCAACCUCGAGAUGUCGGCGGAAACCACUUGGCUAGAGUCCGGAAGAGGAGAGUGGAAUUCCCGGUGUAACGGUGAAAUGCGCAGAUAUCGGGAAGAACACCUAUGGCGAAGGCAGCUCUCUGGGACGGUACUGACGCUGAGACGCGAAAGCGUGGGGAGCGAACAGG